UCCUAUAGGAUCCUAUAGGAAUUCCUAUAGGAAUUCCUAUAGGAUCCUAUAGGAAUUCCUAUAGGAAUUCAUAUAGGAUCCUAUAGG